rnacentral:rRNA from 1 species
AUUGAACGCUGGCGGCAUGCUUUACACAUGCAAGUCGAACGGUAACAGGUCUUCGGAUGCUGACGAGUGGCGAACGGGUGAGUAAUACAUCGGAACGUGCCUAGUAGUGGGGGAUAACUACUCGAAAGAGUAGCUAAUACCGCAUGAGAUCUACGGAUGAAAGCAGGGGACCUUCGGGCCUUGUGCUACUAGAGCGGCUGAUGGCAGAUUAGGUAGUUGGUGGGGUAAAGGCUUACUAAGCCUGCGAUCUGUAGCUGGUCUGAGAGGACGACCAGCCACGCUGGGACUGAGGAACGGCCCAGACUCCGAGGGGAGGCAGCAGUGGGGAAUUUUGGACAAUGGGCGAAAGCCUGAUCCAGCAAUGCCGCGUGCAGGAUGAAGGCCCUCGGGUUGUAAACUGCUUUUGUACGGAACGAAAAGCCUGGGGCUAAUAUCCCCGGGUCAUGACGGUACCGUAAGAAUAAGCACCGGCUAACUACGUGCCAGCCGCCGCCGUAA